rnacentral:lncRNA from 1 species
ACUCAGAUCCCCAUCCGCUCAAGCAGGCCACCAUGUGCCGAGGCUUCUCUUUCAGGCACUUGCUGCCGCUGCUGCUCCUGCAGCUGUCAAAACUCCUAGUUGUCACCCAAGGAAAGACCGUGGUGCUGGGGAAGGAAGGGGGUUCAGCAGAACUGCCCUGUGAAAGUACCUCGAGGAGGAGUGCAUCCUUCGCGUGGAAGUCCUCUGACCAAAAGACAAUUCUGGGAUAUAAGAACAAGUUAUUGAUUAAAGGUAAGAUUCCCUGUCCCCCUAACCCAGGGAGGAAAACAGUGAGUUGAAUGAACUUGCAGUUGGAAAACCUGUUCCUAGAAAUCCAGAGUGUCGUGAUGGCGAGGCUCCUCACAAUCUCAGUGGCCCUCUCCCCCGGGAUCCCCCCUUUCUAACUGGUGAUGACACACGGCUUCAAGAAUCUUCAUUUUAGUCUUUUAAUAUUUAUGACUUUAAUGGACAUUGCAAAAAUUAUCACACAAAGUAUAUGAUUUCAAGAGUGUUAUUACUACAGACCGUAAAGAUGAUAUGAUACUGUGUUUACUCCUGUUAAAAGCAACAGUUCGUGAUAUAGAGUGCUUGCCUGGAACAUGUAAGGGCUCUGGUUUGAUUUCCCAGCAAAAAAUCAAACAAAUAAAC